UAUUUCCUCAGCGUAGAGGGGAGAGUCAGUCCUAUUCAACUUUUCCUCUGCUCACUGGGAAAGGCAACAAACGUUCUUGUUGACAAAGCUGCCACAUUGUAAAGCAGCUCUAUGGAGAAUCUCACAGAGUGAAAGAUCAAGAACCUUGUGAAUGAACUUAAAGGCAAAAUACCCCUCCCUACCACUAAAUCUAUUAAAUAAACCUGCAGCCCCAGCUGAUAGUUUGAUGUUAGACCCUGAGCCAAUGAUGACCUUAUGCUGCACCUGGAUUCCUGACCUACACAAACGAGAGAAAACAGAGACACAAAGAUAUACACAGAAAGGAGAAUGCCACCUGAGGACAAAGACAGAGAUGACAGUAACGCAAUUAUGAACCAAGAAAUCAACAUACACCCACCAGAAGUUAAGAGAGAGACAUGGGAUGUUUUCUUCCUCAGAGUCUCCAAGGAACCAACUCUGCCAACACCUUGAUUUCUGACUUCUAAUCUAGAGGACUUUGAGAUAAUAAAUUUCUGUCAUUUUAAACCA